GAUGAACGCUGGCGGUAUGCUUAACACAUGCAAGUCGAACGGACUCUUCGGAGUUAGUGGCGGACGGGUGAGUAACGCGUGAGAAUCUGGCUUUGGGUUCGGGACAACCACUGGAAACGGUGGCUAAUACCGGAUGUGCCGAGAGGUAAAAGAGAAAUUGCCUGAAGAUGAGCUCGCGUCUGAUUAGCUAGUUGGUGAGGUAAAGGCUCACCAAGGCAGCGAUCAGUAGCUGGUCUGAGAGGAUGACCAGCCACACUGGGACUGAGACACGGCCCAGACUCCUACGGGAGGCGGCAGCGGGGAAUAUGGCACAAUGGGCGGAAGCCAGAUGCAGCCACGCCGCGGGCGGGAUGACGGCGGGGCGGUUGGAAACCGCGUUCAGCAGGGGCGAAGCUGGUGGUGACGGUACCUGCAGAAGAAGCACGGGCUAACUACGGG
rnacentral:rRNA from 1 species